GAAGGCCUUCAGAUUGAAAAGCUGGAGAAGGAGAUGAUAGAUCUGACUGUUCAACGAGACUUAGCUAAAUCUCAGGUUCAGGAUUUGCUACGACUCGUUGGGGAUGAGGAACAUUCAAUGACACGGGUAGGUUUUAAUAACUACCCACACUUGCAAGUUCGGAAGUCACCUGAAUGUGAAAAUCCAGUACCAGAUACAUCCCCUUUGGCAAGUCCUCACUCCUUGGACAUUGGUGUU